UACGUAGGGUGCAAGCGUUAAUCGGAAUUACUGGGCGUAAAGCGUGCGCAGGCGGUUUUGUAAGUCUGUCGUGAAAUCCCCGGGCUCAACCUGGGAAUUGCAAUGGAGACUGCAAGGCUAGAAUCUGGCAGAGGGGGGUAGAAUUCCACGUGUAGCAGUGAAAUGCGUAGAGAUGUGGAGGAACACCGAUGGCGAAGGCAGCCCCCUGGGUCAAGAUUGACGCUCAUGCACGAAAGCGUGGGGAGCAAACAGGG
rnacentral:rRNA from 1 species